UCAAUUUUUGAAAAUAAAAUCUGAAACUACUAUUUCAGAUUUUAGUAGUUUCUGUUUCCUGUUUUCUAGCCUAAGUUUUGCUGAUUUGAUUUGCUGAUUUUGUGGGCUUCCUGAUUUGGUGGCCUUCCUCUACUAUUUAUCUUGUAAUCGUCUCUCUUGAAAGAUAAGAAGACUGAAUAUUUUUUUUCUUAAAAAAACCUUCAAAUUCCUUUUAGACUUUCUUAUAGUCUUUGAUCUAUCAAACUUAUCAGACCUACGAAUUCGGUGCCUGUAUAAUAGUAUUGAUGUGUUUUUAUGUAGGAUCUCAAUGAAGGCCGGUAGUGUUCGGGAAAUGUCAUAGUGCAUUCGCGACCUUGUGUUAGGUAGCAUUUGAUUCGUCUUUGUUUGGGCUUAUUUACAUUUGAAAGUUGUGUAACAGUAAAUUUGGUAUUAUUUCACCAUCUUCCCUAUUUUUAUGGCUGUGUUUAUUCUUCCUUAAUCUAUAUUUUCUUUUCCACCAUUUAUUCUGAAAAUUCAUGGAUCUUUCUUACUUGGAAUAUUAGGAGAGGAUUACUAUUCCUUUACAGUUCAUUAUAAAUGGGUUAUUCUAUUUGUAUAGAUAUAGUGGAGGAGCAUAUUAAAUCCUUGUUUGUCAAUUAGUUCUCAGUUGUUGUCUUCAGCGGGGGGCAGAGUAGUUUGGUAGCUCGCAAGGCUCCUAACCUUGACGUCAUUGGUUCAAAUUGUCUCUGCAGCAUUAUUUAUAUUCUUGUUUUUUUUAACAUGUUUGAAUAAGUUUUUUUUUUUGGCUUUUGCAGUCACUUGAAGAUGGACUUGGUGAAAGUUAAAGAGCCUUUUGCAUUGCUGGACUUAUUACUUCUUAUUGGAUUGUACAAUCUGUGAUUAGUUUAAAACGGAAGAGUAUCUAUUUAUCUGUUUUCGUUUUUCAUUCUUUGAUUUUGGUUGACCUCUCUCUUUGGUGUUUACCAAAACUUUUAAUUUUGCUUGUUUCUAGUUGAUUUUGAGAGCGGUCUUUUGGAAGAGCUAACAGAACCUUUACCUGGUUAGACUGCAGGAAAUGAUCGAUGUUUCUGUGAGUUUGUACCCAAAUCCCGAGUUGUAAUGUAUCAUAGUGCCUUGAGUUUAUGGACAUUUUUUUGAUGACAUGUAGACAAAAAAUUGAGAAGAUCAUGGUGGAAUAUUUAAACUCUCAAUCGCACAAUUAGGUAUCUGGUAAAUGGACUUUAGUAAAUACCUUAGUUUGACCUUCUAUCUUGCUUGGAAGUUAUGCGUUGAUCAAUCCAGCGAGCUUUGAUCGGAAUGGUCAACCGAUUGAAUUAGUUUUAGGUAAUAUUUAGUUCAAAGUCAGAAUGCAUCGAUUGCAUGGUCAAUAGAUUGAAUGCUUUUGAGACUUCCUGUAAGCUUUGAUUGAUCGCACUUGUCAGACCUACGUAUUUCAGUGCCUUUAUAUAAGUGUGGUGUUUUUAUGUAGGAUAUCAAUGAAGGCUAGUACUGUUCGGGAAAUAUCAUAGUGCAGUCCGAACGUUGUGGUAGGUAGCAUUCGAUUUGUCAUGGUUUGUGCGUAUUUACAUUUUGAAAUUUGUGUAACUGUAUAUUUGGUAUUAUUUCACCGUCUUCCCAAGUUUUACCACUGUGUUUAUUCUUCCUUCAUCUAUAUUUCUCUUUUCCACCAUUUCUGAAAAUUCAUGGAUAUUUCUUACUUGGAAUAUGAGGAGAGGAUUACUAUUCCUUUACAAUUCAUUAUAAAUGGGUUAUUCUAUUUCUACAGAUAUAGUGGAGGAGCAUAUUAAAUCCUUGUUUAUCUAUUAGUUCACAGUUCUUGUCUUCAGCGUGGGGCAGAGCAGUUUGGUAGCUCGCAAGACUCCUAGCCUUGACGUCAUGGGUUCAAAUCGUCUCCGUAUCAUUAUUUUUAUUCUUCUUUAAUUUUUUUUUUUUAACAUGUGUGAAUAAGUUGUUUUGCUGGUUGCUCGUUACUUUUUUGUUUGUUUGCAGUCACUUGAAGAUGGACAUGGUGAAAGUUAAAGAGCGUUUUGAAUGGCUAUUAUUUACGUUUUGAAAGUUGUGUAACAGUAAAUUUUGUAUUAUUUCAUCAACUUCCCAAUUUUUACCACUGUGUUUAUUCUUCCUUAAUCUAUAUUUCUCUUUUCCACUUUUUGUUCUGAAAAUUCAAGGAUCUUUCUUAAUUGGAAUAUUAGGCGAGGAUUACUAUUCCUUUACAAUUCAGUAUAAAUGGGUUAUUCUAUUUGUACAGAUAUAGUGGUGGAGCAUAUUAAAUCCUUGUUUGUCUAUUAGUUCUCAGUUAUUGUCUUCAGCGUGAGGCAGAGCAGUUUGGUAGUUCGCAAGUCUCCUAACCUUGAUGUCAUUGUUUCAAAUCCCGUCUCUGCAGCAUUAUUUUUAUUCUGGUUUUUUUUUUUUUUUAGCAUGUAAGAAUAAGUUUGUUUUGCUGGUUGCUCGUUACUGUUUUGCUUGUUUGCAGUCACUUGAAGAUGGAUUUGGUGAAAGUUGAAGUGCCUUUUGCAUGGCUGGACUUUUUACUUGUUAUUGGACUAUAAAUCCUGUGAUUAGUUGAAAUCAGAAGAGAGUAUCUAAUUCUAUGUUUUAUUUUUUUUUUCUUCGAUUUUGCUUGACCUCCCUCUUUGGUUCUUACAAACACUUGUCAUUUUGCUUGUUUGUAGUUAAUUUUGAAAGCGGUCUUUUUGGAAAGCUAAGAGAACCUUUACGUGGUUAGACUGCGGGAAAUGAUCGAUGUUUCUGUAAGCUGGUAUUAGGAUAUUGAGUCAUUGGCAUAUCUUACUCAAAACCUAAGUUUUUCCUUCAUCUAUAUUCUUUUCCACCAUUUGUUCUGAAAAUUCAUGGAUCUUUCUUACUUGGAAUAUUAUAAAUGGGUUAUUCUAUUUGUACGUGUAUAGUGGAGGAGCAUAUUAAAUCCUUAUUUGUCUGUUUGUUUUUCAGUUCCUGUCUUCAACGUGGGUUAGAGCAGUUUGGUAGAUCGCAAGGCUCCUGACCUUGAUGUCAUGGGUUCAAAUCCCGUCUCCACAGCAUUAUUUUUAAUCUUGGUUUUUAUUUAUUUUUUAACAUGUCAGCAAGUUUGUUUUGCUGGUUGCUCGUUACUUUUUUUGCUUGUUUGCAGUCACCUGAAGAUGGACUUGGUCAAAGUUAAAGAGCCUUUUGCGUGGCUGGGCUUAUUUACGUUUUGAAAGUUGUGUAAGAGUAAAUUUGGUAUUAUUUCACCAUCUUCCCAAUUUUUACCACUCUGUUUAUUCUUCCUUCAUCUAUAUUUCUCUUUUCCACCAUUUGUUCUGAAAAUUCAUGGAUCUUUCUUACUUGGAAUAUUAGGCAAGGAUUACCAUUCCUUUAAAAUUCAUUAUAAAUGGGUUAUUAUUUCAUUAUAAAUGGGUUAUUCUAUUUGUACAGAUAUAGUGGAGGAGCAUAUUAAAUCCUUGUUUGUCUAUUAGUUCUCAGUUCUUGUCUUCAGCGUUGGGCAGAGCAGUUUGGUAGCUCUCAAGGCUCCGAACCUUGAUGUCAUUGUUUCAAAUCCUGUCUUCGUAGCAUUAUUUUUAUUUUUUUUUAGCAUGUGCUCGUUAAUUUUUUGCUUGUUUGUAGUCCCUUGAAGAUUGAUUUGGUGAAAGUUAAAGUGCCUUUUGCGUGGCUGGACUUUUGACUUGUUAUUGGACUUUACAUCCUGUGAUUAGUUGAAAACAGACGAGAGUAUCCAAUUCUCUGUUUUAUUUUUUUGUUCUUGGAUUUUGCUUGACCUCUCUCUUUGUUGUUUUCAAACACUUGUUAUUUCGCUUCUUUGUAGUUGAUUUUGAGAGCGGUCUGUUUGAAAAGCUUAGAGAACCUUUACCUGGUUAGACUGCAGGAAAUGAUCGAUGUUUCUAUAAGUUUGUAUUAGUAUAUUGAGUCAUUGGCAUAUCUUACCCAAAACCUGAGUUCUUCCUUCAUCUAUGCUCUUUUCCACCAUUUGUUCUGAAAAUUCAUGGAUAUUUCUUACUUGGAAUAUUAGGAUAGGAUUACUAUUCCUUUACAAUUCAUGAUAAAUGGGUUAUUCUAUUUGUACAGAUAGUGGAGGAGCAUAUUAAAUCCUUAUUUGUCUAUUUGUUCUCAGUUCCUGUUUUCAGCAUGGGGCAGAGCAGUUUGGUAGAUCGCAAGGCUCCUGACCUUGACAUCAUGGGUUCAAAUCCCAUGUCCGCAGCAUUAUUUUUGUUCUUGGUUUUUUAGUUUAUUUUAUUUUUUUAACAUGUCAAUAAGUUUGUUUUGCUGGUUGCUUGUUACUUUUUUAUUAUUAUUUGCCAUCACUUGAAGAUGGACUUGGUGAAAGUUAAAGUGCCUUUUGCAUGGCUGGACUUUUUACUUGUUAUUGGACUGUACAUCCUGUCAUUAGUUAAAAACAGAAGAGAGUAUCUAAUUCUCUGUUUUCAUUUUUCGUUCUUGGAUUUUGCUUGACGUCUCUCUUUGUUGUUUACCAACACUUGUUAUUUUGCUUGUUUAUAGUUUAUUUUUAGAGCGGUCUUUUGGAAGAGCUAAGGGAACCUUUACCUCGUUAGACUGCAGGAAAUGAUCGAUGUUUCUACAUGCUGACAAAAAAUUGAGAAGAUCAUUGUGGAAUAUUUAAAUCCUCAAUCGCACAAUUAGGUAUCAGGUAAAUGGUCUUUAGUAAAUACCUUAGUUUGACUUUUGAUCUUGUUUAGUAAACACCUUAGUUUUACGUUGUGAAAGUUGUAACAUUAUAUUUGUUAUUAUUUCACCGAAUACGUAGGUCGAUAGAUUGAAUGCUUGUGCGACUUCCAGUAAGCUUCAAUCAAUCGUACCUGUCAAACCUACGUAUUCGGUGCCUUUAUAAUAGUAUUGUGGUGUUUUUUUGUAGGAUCUCAAUGAAGGCCAGUAGUGUUCGGGAAAAGUCAUAGUGCAGUCGGGACCUUCUUGUUGGCAGCAUUCGAUUCGUCUUGGUUUGUGCUUAUUUAUGUUUUGAAAGUUGUGUAACAGUAUAUUUUUUUUAUUGUUUUACCAUCUUCCCAAUUUUUACCGCUACGUUUAUUCUUCCUUCAUCUAUAAUUCUCUUUUUCACCAUUUGAUCUGAAAAUUCAUGGAUAUUUCUUACUUUGAAUUUUAGGUGAGGAUUACUAUUCCUUUACAACUUAUUAUAAGUUGGUUAUUCUAUUGUACAGAUAUAAUGGAGGAGCAUAUUAAAUCCUUGUUUGUCUGUUAGUUCUCAGUUCUUGUCUUCAAGUCUCUAACCUUGACGUCAUGGUUUCAAAUCCUGUCUCCGCAGUAUUAUUUUUAUUCUUGGUUUAUUUUUAUUUUUGUUUUUUAUAGCAUAUGUGAAGCUUACUGGAAGUCCCACAAGCAUUCAAUCUAUCGACCUACGUAUUCAGUGAAAUAAUAACAAAUUUAAUGUUACAACUCCAGUAAGUUUGUUUUGUUGGUUGCUCGUUACUAUUUUGCUUUUUUGACCUCUUGCUUUGGUCUUUACAAACACUUGUUAUUUCGCUUGUUUGUAGUUGAUUUUGAGAGCGAUCUUUUUGAAAAGCUAAGAGAACCUUUACCUGGUUAGACUGCAGGACAUGAUCGAUGUUUCUAUAAGUUUGUAUUAGGAUAUUGAAUCAUUGGCAUAUCUUAGCCAAAACCUGUGUUGUUGUUGUGUCAAAGUACCUUGAGUUGUUUAUGGACCUUUUUUUUGAAGAAAUGGCUGACAAAAAAUUGAGAAUACCAAGGUGGAAUAUUUGCAUCCUCAAUUGGACAAUUUGGUACAAGUAAAUGGACAAUACCUUAGUUUGACCUUUGAUCUUGUUUUGGUUCCUAAAUUGUUAUUGAUUCUAAGCUUUUAAGUUUUAGAUUUUUUUUCGAAAGCUUGUAAUUUAAUCAUUGAUCGAUCCAGAGAGCUUUGAUCGAAUGAUCAACCGAUUGAAUUGGUUUUUGGUAAUAUUUAGUUCAAAGUCAGAAUGCAUCGAUUGCAUGGUGCAUAGGUUGAAUUCCUUUUAGACUUGUUGUAGUCUUUGAUCAAUCGAACUUGUCAGACCUAUGUAUUCGGUGCCGGUAUAAUAGUAUUGGCGUGUUUUUAUGUAGGAUCUCAAUGAAGGCAAGUAGUGUUCGGGAAAUUUCAUAGUGCAGUCAGGACCUUGUGGUAGGCUGCAUUCUAUUCGUCUUGAUUUUUGCUUAUUUACGUUUUGAAAGUUUGUGUAACAGUAUAUUUGGUGUUAUUUCACCAUCUUCCCAAUUUUUACCUCUGUGUUUAUUCUUCCUUCAUUUAUAUUUCUUUUUUCAUUAAUCUAUCUUUCUUUAUAUAUAUAAGGUGAGGAUUACUACUCUUUUACAAUUCAUUUUCAAUGAUUAUUCUAUUUGUCCAGAUAUAGUGGUGGAGCAUAUUAAAUCCUUGUUUGUCUAUCUACUCAGUUCUUGUCAAACUAAGGUAUUUACUAAAGUCUAUUUACCUGUACCUAAUUGUGCGAUUGAGGAUGCACAAGUUUGGUAGCUCGCAAGUUUCCUAACCCUGACGUCAGGGAAUCAAAUCCCUUCUCCGCAGCAUUAUUUUUUUUCUUGGGGUUAUUUAUUUUUUUAUUUUAUUUAUUUAUUAUUAUUAUUUUUUUAGCAUGUGUGAAUAAGUAUGUUUUGCUGGUUGCUUGUUACUUUUUUGCUUGUUUGCCGUCACUUGAAGAUGGACAUGGUGAAAGUCAAAGAGCCUUUUGUGUGGCUAAACUUUUUACUUGUUAUUGGACCAUAUGUUCUGUGAUUAGUUAAAAACAGAAUAGAGUAUCUAAUUCUCUGUUUUUGUUUUUUUUGUUCUUGGAUUUUGCUUGACCUCUCUUUGGUGUUUACGAACUUUUGCUAUUUUGUAGUUGAUUUUCAGAGCGGACUUUUGGAAAGCUAAGAGAACCUUUACCUGGUUAGACUGCAGGAAAUUUUCUUUGUUUGUAUUAGGAUAUUGAGUCAUUGGCAUAUCUUACCCAAAACCUGAGUUGCUAUAUAUAUCAAAGUUCCUUGAGUUUUUUAUAGUCAUUUUUUUGAAGACAUGAUAGACAAAAAAUUGAGAAGAUCAUGGUCGAAUUUUUGCAUCCUCAAUCGCACAAUUAGGUACAGGUAAAUGGACUUCAGUAAAUACCUUAUUUUGACCUUUGAUCUUGGUUUGGCUCAUUAACUGUUUUUAUUCAAAACAUUAAGUUUUAGAUUAUUUUGAAAGGCUUGCAAAUUAUGCUUUGAUUGAUCCAGAAAGCUUUGAUAGGUACAGAUUGCUUUGAUAUAAUGAUCAUCCGAUUGAAUUGGUUUCAGGUAAAAUUUAGUACAAAGUCAGAAUGCAUCGAUUGCAUGGUCAAUAGAUUUGAAUGCCUCUGAGACUGCCAGUAAGCUUCUAUCAAUCGAUAUAUUGAAUGCCUGUCAAGACUUCCGCAGGCUUCGAUCAAUCAAACUAGUCAGACCUAUGGACUCGAUGCCUUUAUAAUAGUAGUGGCAUGUUUUUAUGUAGGAUCUUAAUGAAGGCCAGUAGGGCUCGGCAAAUGUCAUAGUGCAGUCGGGACCUUGUGGGUAGUCAGCAUUCAAUUUGUCUUGGUCUGUGCUUUUUUUUUAAAAAUCGUGUAACAGUACAGUAUAUUGGUAAAGUGCACUUAACACCCCUGUUAUAUACUUUGAGAACCAUUGUCAC